rnacentral:misc_RNA from 1 species
AAGUCGUAACAAGGUUUCCGUAGGUGAACCUGCGGAAGGAUCAUUAUUGAAUAAGUUUGGUUGGGUUGUUGCUGGCUUUUCGGGGCAUGUGCACGCCUAACACCAAUCUUUUUUUAAACCACCUGUGCACCUUUUGUAGACCUGGAUAUCUCUCGAGGAAACUCGGUAAGAGGACUGCUGUGCGUCAAAGCCGGCUUUCCUUACAUUUCCGGUCUAUGUCUUUAUAUACACCAUUAGUAUGUCUAUGAAUGUUUAUUUAUCGGACUUGAUUGUCCAAUAAACCUUAUACAACUUUCAACAACGGAUCUCUUGGCUCUC